rfam:Nicotiana attenuata strain TT chromosome 12, whole genome shotgun sequence.
ACUUUAUGUAAGGCAGAGUUUGUUUUUUUUUUUUGGGGUGAAAGUGGAAGAGUUGACAGCUAAGUCAUCCUUACUGCCACUCUACAAAAUCGUACAUGAGAUUUUCACCUCAUACGGCUUCCUUCCGGGGGGCCCGAGCCAUCAGUGAGAUACCACUCUGUAAGUACUAGAAUUCUAACCUUGUGUUAGGACCUACAGGCCAAGGGACAGUCUCAUGUAGACAGUUUAUAUGGGGUGUAGGCCUUCCAAAAGGUAACCGAGGCUUGCAAAGUUUUCCUUGGGCCGGACGGAGAUUGGCCCUCGAGUGCAAAGGCAGAAGGGAGCUUGGCUACAAGAUCCACCCAUCGAGUAGGGAAGUAAGUCGGCCUUAGUGAUCCGAUAGCGCCAUUCGCCGAAA